UUCAUGCAAUUCGCAGUCAGUUUCUGGAAUUAGUAACGCUUGCGAUGUAAAAUUUGACAAUGAAACACUAACAUGACAAGAAAGUGAACUUUUAAAACGAGUCCAUCGUUGUAGUCUAUAACACUGACAAGUCCGGAGAGCAAAUUGUGGAAACGUUUUUUCGGUUGCCAUCGACUGACUGACGGACAGCAUCCGAAUAUUCAUUUCUACCAUCAAACAGGCAUAGCUAUUAUAAUUUGGAUCAGAGAGGAUGUGAUGGGAAGAUGAUAAUGCUAUUUGAUGACAAAGAUGGACCAUGAUUGAUUGGGAUCUUAAUUAUGCUGUCCUUGAAUGAUGAAUCUGCAAGUUCAAAACUGAAUUGAAUAUUUCGCACAUACAAUAGAGAUUUUUUGCGGGCAAUGGAAUUGGCCUAGUCUGCACCCUAAGCCUGACUCCAUAUUGCCGCCAGGUGUAGGCUGACUCCGGUAUGGACAUCGAACUGGUCAGCACCAUAGACAGACGUCCUCCACCGGU